rnacentral:rRNA from 1 species
GAUGAACGCUGGCGGCGUGCCUAAUACAUGCAAGUCGAGCGAACGGACGAGAAGCUUGCUUCUCUGAUGUUAGCGGCGGACGGGUGAGUAACACGUGGAUAACCUACCUAUAAGACUGGGAUCACUUCGGGAAACCGGCGCUAAUACCGGAUAAUAUUUUGAACCGCAUGGUUCAAAAGUGAAAGACGGUCUUGCUGUCACUUAUAGAUGUAUCCGCGCUGCAUUAGCUAGUUGGUAAGGUAACGGCUUACCAAGGCAACGAUGCAUAGCCGACCUGAGAGGGUGAUCGGCCACACUGGAACUGAGACACGGUCCAGACUCCUACGGGAGGCAGCAGUAGGGAAUCUUCCGCAAUGGGCGAAAGCCUGACGGAGCAACGCCGCGUGAGUGAUGAAGGUCUUCGGAUCGUAAAACUCUGUUAUUAGGGAAGAACAUAUGUGUAAGUAACUGUGCACAUCUUGACGGUACCGAAUCAGAAAGCCACGGCUAACUACGUG